rnacentral:rRNA from 1 species
GACGAACGCUGGCGGCGUGCUUAACACAUGCAAGUCGAACGGGCUCUGUCUGGCUGUGUGCUGGGUGGGGUUAGUGGCGAACGGGUGAGUAAUACGUGAGUAACCUGCCCUCUUCUUUGGGAUAAGCCUUGGAAACGGGGUCUAAUACUGGAUAUUCCUGUCUGGUCGCAUGGCUGGGUGGGGAAAGUUUUUUUCGGUGGGGGAUGGGCUCGCGGCCUAUCAGCUUGUUGGUGGGGUGAUGGCCUACCAAGGCGUCGACGGGUAGCCGGCCUGAGAGGGUGACCGGCCACACUGGGACUGAGAGACGGCCCAGACUCCUACGGGAGGCAGCAGUGGGGGAUAUUGCACAAUGGGCGCAAGCCUGAUGCAGCGACGCCGCGUGGGGGAUGACGGCUUUCGGGUUGUAAACCUCUUUCGUCGGGGGACAAGGCUCUGCUUGGUGGUGGGGUUGAGGGUACCCGGUGAAGAAGCGCCGGCUAACUACGUG